rnacentral:rRNA from 1 species
UACAGAGGGCGCGAGCGUUGUCCGGAAUCAUUGGGCGUAAAGGGCGCGUAGGUGGCCCGGUCAGUUCGUGGUGAAAGCGCGGGGCUCAACCCUGCGUCGGCCAUGAAUACUGCCGCGGCUGGAGCACUGUAGAGGCAGGCGGAAUUCCAGGUGUAGCGGUGGAAUGCGUAGAGAUCCGGAAGAACACCGGUGGCGAAGGCGGCCUGCUGGGCAGUUGCUGACACUGAGGCGCGACAGCGUGGGGAGCAAACAGG